GGAGGACACACAUUGUAGCAAGCAGACUGCAAAGGCAUCGAGCAACUAUUUUCUGUAUCAACCAGCAUCCUGUGCUCAAGUUGCCUGUGUAUCAGUCAUGAUCAAAACAGACUAUUCAUCAAGGACAUUUACAGUCCAACAGAAACAUGAAGCAAAAGUGCCGGUGAUCUAAGUUCCGUGACAAGCGUGCCCACUCUCCCUGUCAACCGUACAGCACUUCGGCUAUCUAAGUCCCAUGGUACACAGCUGAGGGAUGAGUGAUCGGCCAUUCAAGUCCUAUAUGAAACCGUAAUAAAUUGUUUUGUUAGCA